rnacentral:rRNA from 1 species
CCCGCUGAACUUAAGCAUAUCAAUAAGCGGAGGAAAAGAAACUAACAAGGAUUCCCCUAGUAACUGCGAGUGAAGCGGGAAAAGCUCAAAUUUAAAAUCUGGCGGUUUUUGGCCGUCCGAGUUGUAGUCUGGAGAAGUGCUUUCCGCGCUGGACCGUGUAUAAGUCUCUUGGAACAGAGCGUCAUAGAGGGUGAGAAUCCCGUCUUUGACAUGGACUACCAGUGCUUUGUGAUGCGCUCUCAAAGAGUCGAGUUGUUUGGGAAUGCAGCUCAAAAUGGGUGGUGAAUUCCAUCUAAAGCUAAAUAUUGGCGAGAGACCGAUAGCGAACAAGUACCGUGAGGGAAAGAUGAAAAGCACUUUGGAAAGAGAGUUAAACAGUACGUGAAAUUGCUGAAAGGGAAACGCUUGAAGUCAGUCGCGUCGCCCGGAACUCAGCCUCGCUUUGGCUUGGUGCACUUUCCGGAUGACGGGCCAGCAUCGAUUUUGACCGUCGGAAAAGGACUGGAGUAAUGUGGCACCUCCGGGUGUGUUAUAGACUCUAGUCGCAUACGGCGGUUGGGAUCGAGGAACGCAGCGCGCCGCAAGGCAGGGACGUUGUCCACUUUCGCGCUUAGGAUGCUGGCAUAAUGGCUUUAAACGACCCGUCUUGAAACACGG